rnacentral:lncRNA from 1 species
AUCACAGCUUUUAGCACACAAUUAUCCUCGUUCCAAUCACUAGAAUUCUUCACACAGAACUGCCAUUCAUAUUACAAUGUUUCACACAAACACAAACUCAUUCUCUAUGCUGAAUUACAAUCAGAUUUCAGCAUUCAAUCUUUCUUCUUCUCAAAUAAUAUCAAUCACAUUUCCAUUCCAUAAUUCACUUCACAAUAUUCAGAAACUCUCAAUCCUCUUAUUCAAAGAAAAUAACAAACAAAAGAAAAGAGGUAGCACCAAGCUUACCCCGGCUCAUACUAUCACAGCGAUGGCCCUUGGCUCAUGACUCUCACAGUCUGGCACCCUAAUUAACUUCUACA